rnacentral:rRNA from 1 species
AACGAACGCUGGCGGCAGGCCUAAUACAUGCAAGUCGAACGGGCGUAGCAAUACGUCAGUGGCGGACGGGUGAGUAACACGUGGGAACAUGCCUUUCGGUUCGGAAUAACGCAGGGAAACUUGCGCUAAUACCGGAUGACCCGGCGACGGAAAAGAUUUAUCGCCGAAAGAUUGGCCCGCGUAGGAUUAGCUAGUUGGUGAGGUAACGGCCCACCAAGGCGACGAUCCUUAGCUGGUUUGAGAGAACGAUCAGCCACACUGGGACUGAGACACGGCCCAGACUCCUACGGGAGGCAGCAGUAGGGAAUCUUGGACAAUGGGGGAAACCCGUNAUCCAGCCAUGCCGCGUGAGUGAUGAAGGCCUUCGGUUGUAAAC